AUGCCUACGGGACGCAGCAGUGAGGAAUAUUGGUCAAUGGCCGUAAGGCUGAACCAGCCAAGUAGCGUGAGGGAAGACUGCCCUAUGGGUUGUAAACCUCUUUUAUGCGGGGAUAAAGGUGUCCACGUGUGGAUGUUUGCAGGUACCGCAUGAAUAAGGACCGGCUAAUUCCGUGCCAGCAGCCGCGGUAAUACGGAAGGUCCGGGCGGUAUCCGGAUUUAUUGGGUUUAAAGGGAGCGUAGGCCGGUCUUUAAGCGUGCCGUGACAUUUUGUGGCUCAACCAUGAGAGUGCGGCGCGAAACGGG
rnacentral:rRNA from 1 species